rnacentral:rRNA from 1 species
GAUGAACGCUGGCGGCGUGCCUAAUACAUGCAAGUCGAGCGAACGGACGAGAAGCUUGCUUCUCUGAUGUUAGCGGCGGACGGGUGAGUAACACGUGGAUAACCUCCCUAUAAGACUGGGAUAACUUCGGGAAACCGGAGCUAAUACCGGAUAAUAUUUUGAACCGCAUGGUUCAAAAGUGAAAGACGGUCUUGCUGGCACUUAUAGAUGGAUCCGCGCUGCAUUAGCUAGUUGGUAAGGUAACGGCUUACCAAGGCAACGAUGCAUAGCCGACCUGGGAGGGUGAUCGGCCACACUGGAACUGAGACACGGUCCAGACUCCUACGGGAGGCAGCAGUAGGGAAUCUUCCGCGAUGGGCGAAAGCCUGACGGAGCAACGCCGCGUGAGUGAUGAAGGUCUUCGGAUCGUAAAACUCUGUUAUUAGGGAAGAACAUAUGUGUAAGUAACUGUGCACAUCUUGACGGUACCUAAUCAGAAAGCCACGGCUAACUACGUG